rnacentral:rRNA from 1 species
ACGCUUGAAGUCAGUCACAUUGACUGGAAAUCAACCUUGCUUUUGCUUGGUGUAUUUUCUGGCUUGAUGGGUCAGCAUCAAUUUUGGUCGCUGGAUAAAGGCUUGGGGAAUGUGGCAUCUUAGGAUGUGUUAUAGCCCUUGGUUGCAUACAGCGGUUGGGAUUGAGGAACUCAGCACGCCGCAAGGCCGGGUCAAUUUUGACCACGUUUACGUGCUUAGGAUGCUGGCAUAAUGGCUUUAAUCGACCCGUCUUGAAACACGGACCAAGGAGUC